AUUGAACGCUGGCGGAAUGCUUUACACAUGCAAGUCGAACGGCAGCACGGACUUCGGUCUGGUGGCGAGUGGCGAACGGGUGAGUAAUACAUCGGAACGUGCCCAGUCGUGGGGGAUAACGUAGCGAAAGCUACGCUAAUACCGCAUACGAUCUAAGGAUGAAAGCGGGGGAUCGCAAGACCUCGCGCGAUUGGAGCGGCCGAUGGCAGAUUAGGUAGUUGGUAGGGUAAAGGCCUACCAAGCCGACGAUCUGUAGCUGGUCUGAGAGGAUGAUCAGCCACACUGGGACUGAGACACGGCCCAGACUCCUACGGGAGGCAGGAGUGGGGAAUGUUGGACAAUGGGCGCAAGCCUGAUCCAGCCAUUCCGCGUGCAGGAUGAAGGCCUUCGGGUUGUAAACUGCUUUUGUACAGAACGAAAAGGCUCUGGUUAAUAUCCGGGGCUCAUGACGGUACUGUAAGAAUAAGCACCGGCUAACUACGUGCCAGCCGCCGCAGUAA
rnacentral:rRNA from 1 species